AUAACGUGCGAUCAAGUACCAACCGUCUCUAAAGCAAGCGACAAAGAAUUUAUUCGAGACCUAAAUUCGAAUUCUAGUUAAUUUAUAUUUUCAACUAAAUUUAUUUCUAAAUAAAAUAAACGAAACAGGUAAUAUACUACUUUUCUCUCAAAAAAAAAAAAUGUGAUCAAAUUAAUAGUACAUUAUUAUUGAUGCUAUUAAAUUUUUAAAAAAUUUAUUGAAUUAGAAUAAUAGUAAUUUUUCUAGGAUUUAGUAUGGUUUUUUUAAAAAGUUAAAAUUUAAUAGGUGAUUGAUGAAAUAAUAUAAUGUAGAAAAUAGAAUUAGUCAAUUAGUAGAUCUAAUAGUAAAAAAUUUAAUAAUAAAAAGUGCUUGAUACUAUUAGAAAUAAUAUUUCAAACAGACUUUAUAUAUACGACAAUAAUAUAUGUAUUUAUAUAUGUUAUAUAAUAUUUUUUUAAAAAAAUAGUAUGUUGUUUUAUUUAAUGGAAGGAUGAUUUUAUUUAUGU
rnacentral:lncRNA from 1 species